UACGUAGGUCCCAAGCGUUAUCCGGAAUUACUGGGCGUAAAGAGUCUGUAGUCGGUCUCGAAAGUCUACUUUCAAAUACCUUAGCUUAACUAAGGAAAGGGGGUGGAUACUUCGAGUCUGGAAGUCUUCAGGGGUGAGUAGAAUUUCCGGUGGAGAGGUGAAAUUCGUUGAUAUCGGAAGGAAUGCCAAAAGCGAAAGCAGCUCACUAUGAAUAUCUUGACGAUGAGAGACGAAAGCUUGGGUAGCAAACGGG
rnacentral:rRNA from 1 species